AAGUUUGAUUUGCAUACUUCACAUCACCAUUGUGGCUGUUCUCAUGGCUAUUUUUGUUGUCAUUAGAAUUGGGAUUAUUAUCGAUAUUUCCUUGUUCUCUUUCCCUGUUCCACUGCUCAAUUUUAGCACGCCUCUCUUCACUCCCUUCCCUAACUGGACUUUGGUUCUUCCUUCCUCGUGGACUACGACUUCUGCUUCUAUGACCAGGGCUUGUAGUCCUGUGCCUCCUACUCCGACUUUCAUGAUAAGCAUCUCUCUCAUCAUACCUUCGACUAUGACCAUGCCUGCCAUAAGAACGUUCUUCAUAACUCCUAUGCCUAUAGGGGCUGCGGCUUCUGCUCCUGCUGUGACUACGCCUUCGACGAUAAAUUGCAAACAGUUCAUGCCUCAGCUCUCUACUGAUCCUCUUCAAAUGCAUGAAAUUGCAAUAUCCACCACGAUUACACAUGUUUUCUUCAUAUUGCCUGCAUGUAGCUUCUCUAAAGUCCGUAACUGGAGAGAAGUCAACAAUGAUCGGACGUCCAGCAUAGAAUCUACCACUAAGAUUCCGAAGAGCAUUUGCAGCUUGCUCCUCCUCUCGAAAUUGAACAUAAACAUUGCCCACCAUAUGGUCAGCUAGAUUGUCACAGACAUUCAAACUUUCAAUCUCCCCGUACUUGUUCAGUUCCUGGAAUAGAUCUUCAUAGAACUCCUCAAAAUGGUCCUGGAUCUUGCGAGGGUCAAUUG
rnacentral:misc_RNA from 1 species